rnacentral:rRNA from 1 species
CCUACGGGGUGCAGCAGGCGCGAAAACUUUACAAUGCGGGAAACCGUGAUAAGGGAACUCCGAGUGUCCGUAAAUGCGGACUGUCCGUCUGUUUAAAAAGCAGGCGAAGAAAGGGCCGGGCAAGACCGGUGCCAGCCGCCGCGGUAAUACCGGCGGCUCGAGUGGUGGCCACUAUUACUGGGCUUAAAGCGUUCGUAGCUGGGUCGUUAAGUCUCUUGGGAAAUCUACCGGCUUAACCGAUAGGCGUCCAAGGGAUACUGGCGAUCUAGGGACCGGGAGAGGUGAGGGGUACUUCAGGGGUAGGAGUGAAAUCCUGUAAUCCUUGGGGGACCACCUGUGGCGAAGGCGCCUCACCAGAACGGCUCCGACAGUGAGGGACGAAAGCUGGGGGAGCAAACCGGAUUAGAUACCCGGGUAGUCC